rnacentral:rRNA from 1 species
UACAGAGGGUGCAAGCGUUAAUCGGAAUUACUGGGCGUAAAGCGUGCGUAGACGGUUUUUUAAGUCAGGUGUGAAAGCCCCGGGCUCAACCUGGGAAUUGCAUUUGAGACUGAAUAGCUAGGGUGCGGAAGAGGGAAGCGGAAUUUCCGGUGUAGCGGUGAAAUGCGUAGAUAUCGGAAGGAACACCAGUGGCGAAAGCGGCUUCCUGGUCCAGCACCGACGUUCAGGCACGAAAGCGUGGGGAGCAAACAGG